UAACUUGCGGUAUGGCUACUUCAAAGCAAAUAGAAAAUAAUCCUUAAAAAGAGAAUAAAAUCUUCAGAGUUUUUAAAUUUAAAGUUUCAUGUCGAAAAAUACAUGAAUCAUUAGGUCAACCAACACAAGUGUUCAAUGAAUUGCCUAUAAUAAGUCCUAAUCUAAUUUCUAAUUCAUGAACCCUAAUAGCUAAACCCCUUUUUUAAAAAAAAAAAUUUUAAGAAGCACAAUCUACUAAAUAAAUUAUAAAAUAAUGCAUACCACAAUCCACAAAGCUCUCUAGAAACUUUCUUCUUCUAGAAAGCAAGAUUUCUUUCUUCCCUCAAAUCCUUUGCAACCCUUGCUCCUUUUCUUCGUCGAUGGCCGAGCAUUAUUCAUGACCUUUUUCUUCUCCAAUAUAAAUGGAGAAUUAGAGUUUUCAUAAGUCAAGAAAUUCAUUAUAAAUAUUGAAAAAUUCAGCUGUCGUCCAUAGCAACAUGUUAACCUGUCAUAAUCUGCUAUGACGGAUCUCAUGGAAGCC
rnacentral:lncRNA from 1 species